rnacentral:rRNA from 1 species
AUUGAACGCUGGCGGCAGGCCUAACACAUGCAAGUCGAACGAGUGGCGGACGGGUGAGUAAUGUCUGGGAAACUGCCUGAUGGAGGGGGAUAACUACUGGAAACGGUAGCUAAUACCGCAUACCAUCUGAUGUACCCAUAUGGGAUUAGCUAGUUGGUGGGGUAACGGCUCACCAGGGCGACGAUCCCUAGCUGGUCUGAGAGGAUGACCAGCCACACUGGAACUGAGACACGGCCCAGACUCCUACGGGAGGCAGCAGUGGGGAAUAUUGCACAAUGGGCGCAAGCCUGAUGCAGCCAUGCCGCGUGUAUGAAGAAGGCCUUAGGGUUGUAAAGUACUUUCAGCGGGGAGGCGUUACCCGCAGAAGAAGCACCGGCUAACGCCGUGCCAGCAGCCGCGGUAAUUC